rnacentral:rRNA from 1 species
CCUACGGGUGGCAGCAGUGGGGAAUAUUGCACAAUGGGGGAAACCCUGAUGCAGCGACGCCGCGUGAGUGAAGAAGUAUCUCGGUAUGUAAAGCUCUAUCAGCAGGGAAGAAAAUGACGGUACCUAACUAAGAAGCCCCGGCUAACUACGUGCCAGCAGCCGCGGUAAUACGUAGGGGGAAAGCGUUAUCCGGAUUUACUGGGUGUAACGGGAGCGUAGACGGCGCUGCAAGUAGCGCGUGAAAGCCCAUGGCUUAACCUGGGUACUGCUCUGGAAACUGUGGCGCGUGAGUGCGGGAGAGGCAGGCGGAAUUCCAAGUGUAGCGGUGAAAUGCGUAGAGAUUAGGAGGAACACCGGCGGCGAAGGCGGCCUGCUGGACCGUAACUGACGUGGAGGCUCGAAAGCGUGGGGAGCAAACAGGAUUAGAUACCCCGGUAGUC